AAGAUUUGGAAAAGAGGUGGACAAAAUAUAUAAUCAAAGUAUGACAAUUUAUCUAAAACAUGUUGAAUUAAGUUGGUUUUGCAUGAUUUGCAUAGGAUAAGUGCCAUGAAAAGUGUAUGAAAAUUAGGUAUUUUUGGCACUUAUCAUGUACUCAAGACAACUCAUCAAAAACAGUAACAAACAAGGAAGUUGAUCUCAUGGUGAAUAGUUUCACCUCAAGAGAGAUCUUGAUAAUCUUCACAGAGACUAGGAGGUCUUAGUUCGAGCGAUAUUGAGGCUGGGGUUGAAUCGCGAAAGGAUAGGAGAUCCAAUUAGGCAAGUUAGACACGUCAAACUAAGUUUUUUAACCUCAUAGGUUCCAAGAUAGAAGCGAUUAAGUUUUUAUUGUAAUUAGAAGUGUGCGUGUACACAAACAAAUAGUGAAGAAAAAUCUCCCAAGAUCACAAGGGGAGGCCUGGAUGUAGUUUACAGUGGACCACAAAAGAACCCACAUAAAAAUUCCUUGUGCACAAUUUUCUAUUCUUUAUCUCCUUUACCGUUGUUCUUUACAUUCUUGUUAAUUGAUUUAAUCUGAGUUGCCUGUUAUAACCUAUUUAGCUAUCAUUCUAUAAUUUCAGUAAUCAAUUAAUUGUGUAAGGAUUGGUAAUCAGUAACUUGUUGUGCAAGAAACCAUAAAAUCAAGAAGUGCAAGAUUCAGGAUAAUCGAUUAUCCACAAGCAUAAUCGAUUAAUUCCAAGCACUGGUUUAUCGAUUAAAACCAAGUUUAAUCGAUUAAGUGCAACAAUUUUUAGUUUUGCGCAAUAUACCGGAAAAGAGAAAUAAGUAACUGCUACACCUAUUCAAUCCCCCUUUUAGGUGUGUUAUGACUUGCUGGUACCCAACAAGUGGUAUCAAAGCUAGGACGAAAGUGUUAGCUUGCCCGCGUGUUCGUUUGAUCAUAGGGGAUAAUACUAUGGGUUCCACUAACCCUUUUGGUGGAGAUGGCACAUCCACCAUCCGCCCUUCGAUAUUCAGUGGCAAGGGG
rnacentral:lncRNA from 1 species